GCGCGAGCCGCACUCUGGAGGGACUGCCGGCGACAAGCCGGAGGAAGGUGGGGAUGACGUCAAGUCAUCAUGGCCCUUAUGUCCAGGGCGACACACGUGCUACAAUGGCCGGCACAGCGGGAAGCGGAGGGCGACCCUGAGCGGAUCCCUUGAAAGCCGGUCCCAGUUCGGAUUGCAGUCUGCAACUCGACUGCAUGAAGUUGGAAUCGCUAGUAAUCGCCGGAUCAGCCAAGCCGCGGUGAAUACGUUCCCGGGCCUU
rnacentral:rRNA from 1 species